rnacentral:lncRNA from 1 species
UUAUCGAUAGGCAUGCUUUCGUACACGGCCACUUUGCCAUCGUAUAACAUUGUAAACUCUCCAGAGAACGCUGGCUGUUUUGGUGUUGGAGGCGACGAAGACGACGACGGCGGUCCGAGAGAAAGUGAAAGAUCACCCGUCUUAUCCGUGUUAUGCGGAAGAUUUGGAGUGAGCUUUAGAAGCACGCUCUGGCCUUGAUUUUCAGUUGUUUUGUAAUGGCUCCAAGGGCGAAGAGACCAUCUUCCAGGAUUACAAACGCCUGCAACGGUGAGAAUAAGCGUCCAAAGGGCAGAAAUUUCUGAAAGCUUACCAGCGGUCAUGUAGCUUUGCAUGAAUCCAAAUCCCUGUCUGGAACUCAACGCGUGCUCCGCAUUGCGGCUACUGGAUGCGCUUCCAAACGCUGCAGCGAGUUGGAAACCUGUCUGCCUGCUCAUCUGCUGGAGUCGGGAAAGAGAAGCUGCUUCACCAUCUCCAUCCAAUUGGAGAGAAACUCGAGAACCAUUUGCCGCUCCACCGGAGAGAUCUCUCGUCGAUUCCAUACCACUGGCCAUUGCAAACACCUCGCCUGCUAAAGCUUCAACUAGGUAGUAUCUCCCCCCAGUUUAUGUC